rnacentral:rRNA from 1 species
CGACGACGGGUAGCCGGCCUGAGAGGGUGUCCGGCCACACUGGGACUGAGAUACGGCCCAGACUCCUACGGGAGGCAGCAGUGGGGAAUAUUGCACAAUGGGCGCAAGCCUGAUGCAGCGACGCCGCGUGGGGGAUGACGGCCUUCGGGUUGUAAACCUCUUUCACCAUCGACGAAGGUCCGGGUUCUCUCGGAUUGACGGUAGGUGGAGAAGAAGCACCGGCCAACUACGUGCCAGCAGCCGCGGUAAUACGUAGGGUGCGAGCGUUGUCCGGAAUUACUGGGCGUAAAGAGCUCGUAGGUGGUUUGUCGCGUUGUUCGUGAAAUCUCACGGCUUAACUGUGAGCGUGCGGGCGAUACGGGCAGACUAGAGUACUGCAGGGGAGACUGGAAUUCCUGGUGUAGCGGUGGAAUGCGCAGAUAUCAGGAGGAACACCGGUGGCGAAGGCGGGUCUCUGGGCAGUAACUGACGCUGAGGAGCGAAAGCGUGGGGAGCGAACAGGAUUAGAUACCCUGGUAGUCCACGCCGUAAACGGUGGGUACUAGGUGUGGGUUUCCUUCCUUGGGAUCCGUGCCGUAGC